GCAGCUGUGGCCUACUGGUUAGCACUUGGGACUUGUAAUCCGAGGGUUGCAGGUUCGAACCCCAACCAUAGGCA
rnacentral:tRNA from 1 species